UACGUAGGGGCAAGCGUUAUCCGGAAUCACUGGGCGUAAAGGGUGCGUAGGCGGCUCUUCAAGUCAGGGUGAAAGGCUACGGCUCAACCGUAGUAAGCCUUUGAAACUGUAGAGCUUGAGUGCAGGAGAGGAGAGUGGAAUUCCUAGUGUAGCGGUGAAAUGCGUAGAUAUUAGGAGGAACACCAGUGGCGAAGGCGACUCUCUGGACUGUAACUGACGCUGAGGCACGAAAGCGUGGGGAGCAAACAGGAUUAGAUACCCGUGUAGU
rnacentral:rRNA from 1 species